AGAACGAACGCUGGCGGCAUGCCUAACACAUGCAAGUCGAACGAGACCUUCGGGUCUAGUGGCGCACGGGUGCGUAACGCGUGGGAAUCUACCCUUGGGUUCGGAAUAACAGUUGGAAACGACUGCUAAUACCGGAUGAUGUCGCAAGACCAAAGAUUUAUCGCCCAAGGAUGAGCCCGCGUAGGAUUAGCUAGUUGGUGAGGUAAAGGCUCACCAAGGCGACGAUCCUUAGCUGGUCUGAGAGGAUGAUCAGCCACACUGGGACUGAGACACGGCCCAGACUCCUACGGGAGGCAGCAGUGGGGAAUAUUGGACAAUGGGCGAAAGCCUGAUCCAGCAAUGCCGCGUGAGUGAUGAAGGCCUUAGGUUGUAAAGCUCUUUACCCGGGAUGAUAAUGACAGUACCGGAGAAUAAGCUCCGGCUAACUCCGCGCCAGCAGCCGAC
rnacentral:rRNA from 1 species